CUCCACUCUCUAAAUAUAAUAUAAAUAAAAAGUUACUGUACUACUAUACUAAAAACAGCUUGCAAAACCUGCAGUUCUCUUGUCCGCUUGCCUUUACAAACCCUCCCCUUCUAACCCUGCCCAGCUUUCUGUGGCUGUCCAAUCACAGAUGCCAUAAUGCAGCUCAAUGAGAAGUCUUUGCAAGGCAGGUGGUGUGGGCACUUGCUGCUUCUUGGGUUUGGC